UUUCUGUUGAUGGUUGCCUCAAUCAUUAGGCUCUCUUUCUGGCCAAUUGCCUUGACGAUUCGGACCACAGUGCUACCACAAAAUAAAGAAAGUAAGAACUAGGCAUAUAACAUUUGAAACGUGGCGUAUGGGCCCGUAGUGUAAUUCAACCAGAAGUUUGGAUAACACUGAGCUAACCGCGACAGCUGGAUGAGUAGCUGUCGUGGUAGGCCUGGGCAGUGUGAAAGGUCUCUCCGGCAGAGGAAGCCGUGGCGAUUGUUGCACAGGAGUGGUUGUCCCGACUUGUGGGCCACGAUGGUAUCAUAUCGGCUGCUGACAAUUUAGUUGUAAUUGAAAUAUAAGAAUUGUGGGCUAAUAUUCACAAGAAGCUGUACUACCGACACUAAUCUAAAGAAGGAACCAGCGAGACGGAGACUGGAUGCUGCUCAAGAUUGUGUAUAGUGCCCGGUAACUGUUAAAUGAACGCUGAGUAAUGAUCAAUUAAAUAAAAGUGAAUGGUGAUAAACAGUGAUAAGCUUCGGAAAGUGAAUUGGUGAACGUUAUAGCCCUUAUAGAUCCAUAUUCGUAAUGUCUGUGUGUUCAUUUUGUCAGUGUUAUACUUCGUAUAAUAAAUAAUAUUAACUGUA